UGAUUAGGGUCCUGANAUUUUUAGGCAUGU
rnacentral:piRNA from 1 species